UACGGAGGAUCCAAGCGUUAUCCGGAUUUAUUGGGUUUAAAGGGUGCGUAGGCGGAUUGAUAAGUUAGAGGUGAAAUGUCCGAGCUCAACUCGGGAACUGCCUCUAAUACUGUUGAUCUAGAGAGUAGAUGCGGUAGGCGGAAUGUAUGGUGUAGCGGUGAAAUGCUUAGAGAUCAUACAGAACACCGAUUGCGAAGGCAGCUUACCAAUCUAUAGCUGACGUUGAGGCACGAAAGCGUGGGGAGCAAACAGG
rnacentral:rRNA from 1 species